CUCUGCUCCUUACAAUAAAUCGUCUAGCCUUUCUCUUUACUUAUCUUUUAUUUACAAAUUAAUUAAGUGUUUUGGCUUUGUUAUUUUUAUCCCUUAAUAACUUGCUGAUGAUAAUUAAUUUGCUGUUUUCUACUAUCUCUAUUUAUUAACAUAGGGAAGUGCUUGUUUAAUUCUGGAGAAACAUUUCACACUGUUGAAAUAAUUUCUUAGGAUAAUGCCCAGCACGACUCAAAAGGGUAUAGUGAUGCAGCCUGGAUCUCUGAUUCAUAUGAGACGAAAUCCACUAGUAGAUAUGUUCAGCUUAGCUGAUGGUGCAAUAUCCUGAAAAUCAACUAAACAGACGAUCAUUGCUAGAUCGACUAUGGAGUCAGAGUUUGUAGCUGUGGAGCUGGUUGGUUCUGAGACUGAAUGGUUAAGAAAAUUCUUUGGAAUAUUCCUUUAAUAAAGGAUGAAUUUUCAUAUAAUUCCUUUGAUGUGAAGAAUUAAUUAUUGAUCCCUUCUAUGAAAGAUGAAUUAUUGAUC